rnacentral:lncRNA from 1 species
ACCCCGCCUUGUGCCUUGUCCAUGACUUUUGUGUUUUCGUAGCAGCAGCAGCCAGCAGCCAGCAGUCGCUGGUCAGUCAACCACGUGUGAGAGGCAGGCGCCGGGGCCCGGGAAUGCGCGGUGAAGUCAUCGUGGCGGCUAAUGGGUCGCUCGCACGAUCAGAGGAUCCAGGACAAGAAGGUCGUCGCGUCACCUUGCCGUUGCCGAGUGCGAAGUUUCUUGGGCGCAAGUCUCAGUCGCGGUCUCCGUUCCGUCGCAGGAACAGGUCGCCGGAGCCUGCCGGAAGCCGGGCUGAACCGAAUGAACCCUCAGAAGACGGUGUUUAGGUCAGGCGUCACUGUCCUGACAUGUGUCCCGUGCUUGCUUUUGCUUAUAUGUGUGUGCGACGGACGCGCGUACGUAGUCGUACUGAGUUUUGGUAAGCCUGUUAUUCUUCUGACGAUGCUAAAUUGCUAGUUGGUACUACUGCUAGCAGUGUAUAGGUAAUAGGUACGUGUUACUACGUCUCUAUGGAUAGAUUCCACUAAAUCUAGCUAAUGAUGGUUUUCUAUAGUUGAAGCUGGUCAAGGUCGAGGCGCAGGUGCCUUUGUUUAACGACACUUGGACGCACAUCGUCGUCCCGGAGUUCUGGUAUACUAAUGAUGGGCGUGAUUGUUUUAAGACUUUUAGAUUACAGUAGACUUUUAACGUGUGUUUAUUAUAAGAAUGCAGGUGCGGGAAUCUGAGGGCACGGUGUGUGUGUUGCCUGCACGAAAUCGGGGCGCGGGGAAGGAUGGAUGGAACCGUGUCAUGGCCUCACGUCAGACGAGCUAGCCGCCGCGGUCACUGCAGUUGCAGCAGCCGGUAGAGCUGCGUGCGUGCGUGCGUCAGCCGCCGCACAUCACCUACCCUACCCCGGUCAGCGUAAACCGGGCGACGAGAAAUUCUCUCGCCGGAAUAUCGCGGCGGCGGCGGCGGCUUUGGGGGCGCUGGGCGGAGCGGUUAGGCCGGGGGGCCGUUGACGAACGCCGCGAGACGGUGAGGUUCGGUUCCGGCCUUCCGGGGCGGUUACCGUGUGUUUGGUUGGAGUUUGGGUGGGUUGGGUUGGAUCCAACCCAGUUUUUUUUGGGACGGAGCCAACCCGUCGAGUGUUUGGUUGCACUUCUGCUUUUGGGGACGGAGCCAACCCAUUUUAGUGUUUGGUUGAAGAAUUGGGGACAGAGCGGCUCCGUUCAGUGUUUGGUUGAAGGAAUUUAGUGUUUGGUGGGAGCCAACCCGGCUGGAGCGGCUCCGUCCGCCAGAUUUUGACGGACGAGUCCAACCCGCAUCUGAGAGGAAUAUUCCACUCUAGAGCCAACCCAACCCUCCCAUCCUCCAACCAAACAGCCACAAGAACGGGUUCGCUCCGACCCGGCUCGCCUCGCUCUCCAACCAAACACACGGUUAGAUUACUGUGCUCGUGUGUAGUUAGGCCUUGUUUAGUUGGUACUCCAUCCGUUAUAAAUUAUAAGUCAUUCCAAUAAUCUUUGAGAAUCAAAGCAUUUGUAAGUUUGACCAAAAAUAUAGAGAGAAAUAUAAAGAUUUAUGUCAUUAAAUAUGUACACUAUGAAAAUAUAACUAACAAAGAAUCUAAUGAUACUUGGUCGAUACUAAAAAUGUUAUUAUUUUACUAUAUAAAUUUAGUUAAAUUUGAAAAACUUUGACUUUUCAAAAUUCUUGAAAGGUCUAAAGAUUCAAUGUGACGAAUUUUUUUUUAACUAAACAAGUCAUUAGCAGGUAAGUCGACCGUGGUAAUAAGCUGGUCAGCGAACACGUGUUUCCGGGCUGGCGGGCGGUUAACGAAAGCGCACCGCGAAGAGCCAAGGGUAGAGAGCGAGAUGCAUCCGUGACUCCGGUCCGGUUGCCGCUCGGUCACGGUCGCACGCAUGGGCCGUAGCCGAAGUGUGGUGGCGUGACUGCGUGAGCGUAGUAAAACUGCAGAGCGGCGACGCCCACGGUAGGCCUAGCUAGGGCCGUAGCGUGAUGGUGGGUGCCGUGGCGCGCGGCACGUCGCGCUGGUCGGGCGGCGUCGCCCCCGCCCGCGACUGGGGGAGUAGGAGCACGUCCGCCAGAGUGGCCGAGCGGGACUCGCGGGGCGGACAGCAUCAGCAGCGCCGCCGCUCGGGGUGGA